rnacentral:rRNA from 1 species
AUUGAACGCUGGCGGCAGGCCUAACACAUGCAAGUCGAGCGGAGCGGCGGACGGGUGAGUAAUGCAUAGGAAUCUGCCUGGUAGUGGGGGAUAACUUCCGGAAACGGGCGCUAAUACCGCAUACUAUCAGAUGAGCCUACGUUGGAUUAGCUAGUUGGUGGGGUAAAGGCCUACAAAGGCGACGAUCCGUAACUGGUCUGAGAGGAUGCUCAGUCACACGGGAACUGAGACAAGGUCCAGACUCCUACGGGAGGCAGCAGUGGGGAAUAUUGGACAAUGGGCUAAAGCCUUAUCCAGCCAUGCCGCGUGUGUGAAGAAGGUCUUCGGAUUGUAAAGCACUUUAAGUUGGGAGGCGUUACCAACAGAAUAAGCACCGGCUAACUUCGUGCCAGCAGCCGCGGUAAUUC